UACGGAGGAUGCGAGCGUUAUCCGGAUUUAAUGGGUUUAAAGGGUGCGUAGGCGGAGUGUCAAGUCAGCGGUAAAAUUUCGGGGCUCAACCCCGUCGUGCCGUUGAAACUGACGCCCUUGAGUGAGUGAGAAGUAAGCGGAAUGCGUGGUGUAGCGGUGAAAUGCAUAGAUAUCACGCAGAACGCCGAUUGCGAAGGCAGCUUACCGGCGCUCAACUGACGCUGAGGCACGAAAGUGCGGGUAUCGAACAGG
rnacentral:rRNA from 1 species